rnacentral:rRNA from 1 species
UACGAAGGGGGCUAGCGUUGCUCGGAAUGACUGGGCGUAAAGGGUGCGUAGGCGGCGCGGUAAGUCGGGUGUGAAAUCUCGGGGCUUAACUCCGAAACUGCAUUCGAUACUGCCGUGCUUGAGGACUGGAGAGGAGACUGGAAUUUACGGUGUAGCGGUGAAAUGCGUAGAUAUCGUAAGGAAGACCAGUGGCGAAGGCGGGUCUCUGGACAGUUCCUGACGCUGAGGCACGAAGGCCAGGGGAGCAAACGGG